UGUAGAAGAUUGUACUCUGGUCUGUGCCUUAGUGAUCCAUCGGCAGAGUACCCUGUCACAAUGCUGACGCUCAAGCUCCUGACAACC